CAAUCCUCAAGCUCUGCUUGGUAUUGGGUGCCACCUGACACGGUGCAUCUUAAAAUCAGUGGCGGUGCCAUGCGGCUUCCAAGUGUAGUAAUAUUUCUUGCUUGGGAAGUUUGGAUGUGUGCUUGACAACAACCCUCUAAUCUAUCAAAA
rnacentral:misc_RNA from 1 species